GACGUGACGCUUGUGAGAUCUCA
rnacentral:siRNA from 1 species